UACGUAGGGACCGAGCGUUGUCCGGAAUCAUUGGGCGUAAAGGGCGUGUAGGCGGCUUGCUAAGUCUUGCGUGAAAUCUCGGGGCUCAACCCCGAGCGGUCGUGGGAAACUGGCAGGCUAGAGUGCGGGAGAGGAGAAUGGAAUUCCUGGUGUAGCGGUGAAAUGCGCAGAUAUCAGGAAGAACACCCGUGGCGAAGGCGGUUCUCUGGAACGCAACUGACGCUGAGACGCGAAAGCGUGGGGAGCAAACAGG
rnacentral:rRNA from 1 species